GACGAACGCUGGCGGCGUGCCUAAUACAUGCAAGUCGAACGAACUCUGGUAUUGAUUGGUGCUUGCAUCAUGAUUUACAUUUGAGUGAGUGGCGAACUGGUGAGUAACACGUGGGAAACCUGCCCAGAAGCGGGGGAUAACACCUGGAAACAGAUGCUAAUACCGCAUAACAACUUGGACCGCAUGGUCCGAGCUUGAAAGAUGGCUUNGGCUAUCACUUUUGGAUGGUCCCGCGGCGUAUUAGCUAGAUGGUGGGGUAACGGCUCACCAUGGCAAUGAUACGUAGCCGACCUGAGAGGGUAAUCGGCCACAUUGGGACUGAGACACGGCCCAAACUCCUACGGGAGGCAGCAGUAGGGAAUCUUCCACAAUGGACGAAAGUCUGAUGGAGCAACGCCGCGUGAGUGAAGAAGGGUUUCGGCUCGUAAAACUCUGUUGUUAAAGAAGAACAUAUCUGAGAGUAACUGUUCAGGUAUUGACGGUAUUUAACCAGAAAGCCACGGCUAACUACGUGCCAGCAGCCGCGGUAAUACGUAGGUGGCAAGCGUUGUCCGGAUUUAUUGGGCGUAAAGCGAGCGCAGGCGGUUUUUUAAGUCUGAUGUGAAAGCCUUCGGCUCAACCGAAGAAGUGCAUCGGAAACUGGGAAACUUGAGUGCAGAAGAGGACAGUGGAACUCCAUGUGUAGCGGUGAAAUGCGUAGAUAUAUGGAAGAACACCAGUGGCGAAGGCGGCUGUCUGGUCUGUAACUGACGCUGAGGCUCGAAAGUAUGGGUAGCAAACAGGAUUAGAUACCCUGGUAGUCCAUACCGUAAACGAUGAAUGCUAAGUGUUGGAGGGUUUCCGCCCUUCAGUGCUGCAGCUAACGCAUUAAGCAUUCCGCCUGGGGAGUACGGCCGCAAGGCUGAAACUCAAAGGAAUUGACGGGGGCCCGCACAAGCGGUGGAGCAUGUGGUUUAAUUCGAAGCUACGCGAAGAACCUUACCAGGUCUUGACAUACUAUGCAAAUCUAAGAGAUUAGACGUUCCCUUCGGGGACAUGGAUACAGGUGGUGCAUGGUUGUCGUCAGCUCGUGUCGUGAGAUGUUGGGUUAAGUCCCGCAACGAGCGCAACCCUUAUUAUCAGUUGCCAGCAUUAAGUUGGGCACUCUGGUGAGACUGCCGGUGACAAACCGGAGGAAGGUGGGGAUGACGUCAAAUCAUCAUGCCCCUUAUGACCUGGGCUACACACGUGCUACAAUGGAUGGUACAACGAGUUGCGAACUCGCGAGAGUAAGCUAAUCUCUUAAAGCCAUUCUCAGUUCGGAUUGUAGGCUGCAACUCGCCUACAUGAAGUCGGAAUCGCUAGUAAUCGCGGAUCAGCAUGCCGCGGUGAAUACGUUCCCGGGCCUUGUACACACCGCCCGUCACACCAUGAGAGUUUGUAACACCCAAAGUCGGUGGGGUAACCUUUUAGGAACCAGCCGCCUAAGGUGGGACAGAUGAUUAGGGUGAAG
rnacentral:rRNA from 3 species